UUAAAUAAUUUAUGCUCUAGAAAUUUAAUGAACGAACUUUGUUAACCCAGAAACUUAUAACUCUCUGGUGUCGUGCUGCGGUAAGUUUGAGCAGAUGUAAUCCUUGGACCCAUUGUUACGUUCCGAAUUUUCUCGAGAAUCGAAAGUCGAUUUUGGAUCAGUUUUGUGAAUCAAGCAUCUCGGGAGGUUAAUUUCAUAGUUUUCCGGAAGAUAGCAUGGAUAAGGUUUCAGAAUUUUUGAGCGAAAGAAGUUGGUGGAAGCUUUAGCAAGAAUGGCAAGGAGAAAGUGGGGGAGGCUUGAUUUGAUUUUUCAAUUUGUGCAUUUCAUUUUCAAAUUAUGUUGUGUUAUUGUUUAAAUUGAAUCAUUUAUAUAAGUUUAUGUUGUUAUCACUACAGUAAAA